rnacentral:rRNA from 1 species
GUAAUUAGCCGGUGCUUAUUCCUGGGGUACCUUCAUCAUUUAUUCCCCCAGAAAAGAAGUUUACAACCAAAAGGCCUUCACCCUUCACGCGGUGUCGCUCCGUCAGGCUUUCGCCCAUUGCGGAAGAUUCCUC